rnacentral:lncRNA from 1 species
CCAGAGGUACAAAGAGAGAGAGAGGCUCAGGACCAUCCAGCCCAUUCUGUGCCAUUCUGAAAGGGCCAUGACAGAUGGGGCUUGCAUCACCAUGAUCCAGCUUGUUUCAAUCAGCCAGUCUCGUGCUUCUGUGUGAAUGAGGAAUUAGAAGGUGGGUGUGGAACAAGAGAGGUGAGUAACCCCACUCCAUGUGUUCAGUCCACAGCAGCACGCUGAAUAGCAGCACACUGGAACUCCCCUCACCCUUCCAGACCAGUCUGCAAUCUUACAUUGCCAUUCCUAAUGUGGCCAUCUCUCAGUGCACUUUACAGACCAAGGGCAAGAUCCAUUCAUUGGCCUCUGGCCACAGAGGGUCUGUUGGAAAUGGGAUCUCAGUGGUGCAAGCCGCCUGUGAGGACUGGGCUGGAGCUGCACAGUGCCCCUGUGAAGUUGGUAGCACUUGCCAGUAGAGAGAAGGGAUGGGAGUAGUCCAGCUUGAAGACACCCUUAUUCAGGGCUUUUCUCAGACAACCUCCAGGGAUUUUAAUGCUACCCUUCGCCAGCCA